rnacentral:rRNA from 1 species
UGGGGAAUAUUGGACAAUGGGCGAAAGCCUGAUCCAGCCAUGCCGCGUGUGUGAAGAAGGUCUUCGGAUUGUAAAGCACUUUAAGUAGGGAGGAAGGGCAGUAAGCGAAUACCUUGCUGUUUUGACGUUACCGACAGAAUAAGCACCGGCUAACUCUGUGCCAGCAGCCGCGGUAAUACAGAGGGUGCAAGCGUUAAUCGGAAUUACUGGGCGGAAAGCGCGCGUAGGUGGUUCGUUAAGUUAAAUGUGAAUGCCCCGGGCUCAACCUGGGAACUGAAUCCAAGACUGGCGAGCUAGAGUAGGGAAGAGAGUGGUGGAAUUUCCUGUGUAGCGGUGAGAUGCGUGGGUAUAGAAAGGAAAACCAGUGGCGAAGGCGACCACCUGAGCUCAUACUGACACUGAGGUGCGAAAGCGUGGGGAGCAAACGGG